CCUACGGGAGACAGCAGUGGGGAAUAUUGGGCAAUGGGCGCAAGCCUGACCCAGCAACGCCGCGUGAAGGAAGAAGGCUUUCGGGUUGUAAACUUCUUGUCGCAGGGACGAAGAAAGUGACGGUACCGGAGGAAUAAGCCACGGCUAACUACGUGCCCGCAGCCGCGGUAAUACGUAGGGGGCAAGCGUUAGCCGGAUUUAGUGGGUGUAAAGGGCGUGUAGGCGGGAGCGCAAGUCAGAUGUGAAAACUCAGGGCUCAACCCUGAGCCUGCAUUUGAAACGGUUUUUCUUGAGUGCUGGAGAGGCAAUCGGACUUCCGUGUGUAGCCGUGUACUGCGUCGAUCUUCGGAGG
rnacentral:rRNA from 1 species